GAGUCCUACGGGGGGCAGCAGUGGGGAAUAUUGCACAAUGGGGGAAACCCUGAUGCAGCGACGCCGCGUGAGUGAGGAAGUAUUUCGGUAUGUAAAUCUCUAUCAGCAGGGAAGAAAAUGACGGUACCUGACUAAGAGGCCCCGGCUAACUACGUGUCAGCAGCCGCGGUAAUGCGUAGGGGGCAAGCGUUAUCCGGAUUUACUGGGUGUAAAGGGAGCGCAGACGGAGGAGCAAGUCUGAUGUGAAAAUCCGGGGCCCAACCCCGGAACUGCAUUGGAAACUGUUUAUCUAGAGUGUC
rnacentral:rRNA from 1 species